rnacentral:rRNA from 1 species
UACGUAGGUGGCAAGCGUUGUCCGGAUUUAUUGGGCUUAAAGGGUGCGUAGGCGGCUUAUUAAGUCAGUGGUGAAAUACUCUAGCUCAACUAGAGGGGUGCCAUUGAUACUGAUGAGCUUGAGUACAGAUGAGGUAGGCGGAAUUGACGGUGUAGCGGUGAAAUGCUUAGAUAUCGUCAAGAACACCUAUAGCGAAGGCAGCUUACUAGGCUGUAACUGACGCUGAGGCACGAAAGUGUGGGGAUCAAACAGG